rnacentral:rRNA from 1 species
AUUGAACGCUGGCGGCAUGCCUUACACAUGCAAGUCGAACGGCGGCACGGGGGCAACCCUGGUGGCGAGUGGCGAACGGGUGAGUAACGCAUCGGAAUGUACCCAGUAGUGGGGGAUAACUAGUCGAAAGAUUAGCUAAUACCGCAUACGCACUACGGUGGAAAGCGGGGGAUCGCAAGACCUCGCGCUAUUGGAGCAGCCGAUGUCCGAUUAGGUAGUUGGUGGGGUAAAGGCCUACCAAGCCUGCGAUCGGUAACUGGUCUGGGAGGACGACCAGUCACACUGGGACUGAGACACGGCCCAGACUCCUACGGGAGGCAGCAGUGGGGAAUUUUGGACAAUGGGGGCAACCCUGAUCCAGCAAUGCCGCGUGUGUGACGAAGGCCUUCGGGUUGUAAAGCACUUUUGGCGGGAACGAAACGGCGCUUGCUAAUACCAGGCGCCACUGACGGUACCCGCAGAAUAAGCACCGGCUAACUUCGUGCCAGCAGCCGCCGUAA